CAGCCUACGGGAGGCAGCAGUGAGGAAUAUUGGUCAAUGGGCGAGAGCCUGAACCAGCCAAGUCGCGUGAAGGAUGACGGCCCUACGGGUUGUAAACUUCUUUUGUCAGGGAGCAAUUGGGUCCACGCGUGGGCUUAGCGAGAGUACCUGAAGAAAAAGCAUCGGCUAACUCCGUGCCAGCAGCCGCGGUAAUACGGAGGAUGCGAGCGUUAUCCGGAUUUAUUGGGUUUAAAGGGUGCGCAGGCGGGAGAUCAAGUCAGCGGUAAAAUGUCGGGGCUCAACCCCGGCCGGCCGUUGAAA
rnacentral:rRNA from 1 species